UACGAAGGGGGCUAGCGUUGCUCGGAAUCACUGGGCGUAAAGCGCACGUAGGCGGCUUUCUAAGUCAGGGGUGAAAUCCUGGAGCUCAACUCCAGAACUGCCUUUGAUACUGGAGAGCUAGAGUCCGGAAGAGGUGAGUGGAACUGCGAGUGUAGAGGUGAAAUUCGUAGAUAUUCGCAAGAACACCAGUGGCGAAGGCGGCUCACUGGUCCGGUACUGACGCUGAGGUGCGAAAGCAUGGGUAGCAAACAGG
rnacentral:rRNA from 1 species